rnacentral:rRNA from 1 species
GACGCACGCUGGCGGCGUGCCUAAUACAUGCAAGUAGAACGAAGUUGCGCACGGGUGAGUAACGCGUAGGUAACUGCCUGGUAGCGGGGGAUAACUAUUAGAAACGAUAGCUAAUACCGCAUACUACCAGAUUGACCUGCGUUGUAUUAGCUAGUUGGUGGGGUAACGGCUCACCAAGGCAACGAUACAUAGCCGACCGGAGCGGGGGAUCUGCAAAACUGGGACGUAGACAACGCCCAGACUCCUACGGGAGGCAGCAGUAGGGAAUCUUCGGCAAUGGACGGAAGUCUGACCGGGCAACGCCGCGUGAGUGAAGGAGGUUUUCGGAUCGUAAAUCUCUGUUGUAAGAGAAGCGGUAUCUAACCAGAAAGCGACGGCUAACUACGUGCCAGCAGCCGCGGUAAUUC